AGUUUUGUGCAGUGGCAGUAUUGUAGCCAAUGAGUUAUAUCAGAGGCACAAUUAUUGCUAACUGAAAAUUUUUCUUUUAGCACCUUUUUAAACAUAAAAUAAUUCAGGUGUGGCAGCACA
ensembl:snRNA U4 U4 spliceosomal RNA